ensembl:lncRNA
CUGAAGAGAAGAAGUUCGGUGGAGGCGGAAGUUUGUACAUUAGCACCAACGUGGUGGACAACGGUGGUGUGUGUGAGAGUGUCAGGGAUAGAAACGGGUUUAUAUUAACCUAAAAGUGUCGCGUUUUGUGCUUAUUUACAGGAUCCACCACGAUUUGUAGCUAGCUAGCUCACUUCUCUUUUUUUAGCGUGAUUUUAAAAAGGUUUUGUUAGCUUAGCACUUAAACUACACGUGGAUGGUGUUAUUCAUAAAUUAGAUUAUCUGAAGAAGGACCUCCAGUGACUGAAGCACGUGGACCUGUCUGCCUAGUUCACCUGCAGAGAGAGGACAACAGAGAUCAGAAGACUCCACAACAUUUGCAUAUUCAUCAUCUGACUGUUUUGGCUUUGUACUGUAAAUAAGUUCUUCAAUAAACACAGUUUGUAUACCUGGUAUAUUCACCACCUGACACAGUGUGUGUUUUAUAUGUUGGAACAGUGUUGAAUAAACUGUGUUUACAGUUGUAGUCUAUUGUUAGUUACAUUAUACCUUUCACAUUAGUGCAUUGUUGGACUCAGUGUUUUUUCUUCUUCUUAAAAACCAUCAGCAUCUUCAAAAAUACAAGUUAACAGUAAUCCAAUGUUUUCAAUACAG